rnacentral:rRNA from 1 species
AACGAACGCUGGCGGCAGGCUUAACACAUGCAAGUCGAACGCUCGUAGCAAUACGGGAGUGGCAGACGGGUGAGUAACGCGUGGGAACGUGCCCAAAGGUACGGAACAACUCCGGGAAACUGGAGCUAAUACCGUGUGUGCCCGAAAGGGGAAAGAUUUAUCGCCUUUGGAUCGGCCCGCGUCGGAUUAGCUAGUUGGUGGGGUAAUGGCCUACCAAGGCGACGAUCCGUAGCUGGUCUGAGAGGAUGAUCAGCCGCACUGGGACUGAGACACGGCCCAGACUCCUACGGGAGGCAGCAGUGGGGAAUAUUGGACAAUGGGCGCAAGCCUGAUCCAGCCAUGCCGCGUGAGUGAUGAAGGUCUUAGGAUUGUAAAGCUCUUUCACCGAUGAAGAUAAUGACGGUAGUCGGAGAAUAAGCACCGGCUAACUUCGUGCCAGCAGCCGCAGUAA